UAAUAGAAUAAAUAUGAGUAUCCUUUUUUUAGACCAGUAAGGAGGACAACUACUUUGAGAUUGCAGUAAAUUAUUCAGCCGUGCAAAUCAUAAUUUAUUAAUUGAAGUAUAAUUUUCAUCGUUUCAUAAUUUUUUGACACGUCUGCACCAUAGACGAUCGGAACGGCAGGAUAUUUGUUGCCUAUGGGAAGCCACUAUGGAAGAAAAGUCGAAUUAAUAGCGAGAAUGCAGGAAGCUGACCCGACCAGAAGGUUGAUUAGAGGCCGCCCUGCAGACAGGGGCAAACGACGACACUGAGGAAGCUCAGGAGAGCGGCACAAGAAUGCGAGCAAAUCGGGCAAGAAUCGGCGGGCUCUCUUGCUCGUUGGUAAACGACUCUUCAAGCGCGAAAGAGAGCUGAUGCAGAAGAAAUAGACUUAUUACGCAGAGAAAAUCAGUUGCUACGACCUCCGUGGCUAGCACAUCGAUAAUGUUAAGAGCCACAAUGAAUAUCAAAAGUAUAGGUGAGCUACAGUGAGUACACUGGAUCGAGCGAGGACUUCGAGCGCUGGGAAGCUCAAAUUAACUUGACAAGGAAAUCGAUUUUGAUGAGAAUGCUAUCAAAAUUUUAAUUAGUUCCAAGUUACGUGGGAAACCGCAAUAGUGAUACUACUCGCUGGUCGAUAAUUUAAUUUUGCCGGUGGAUACGCUGCUAGACAAGAUGGACAUCAUGUUCAAGCAGUCAAUCAGUCGACUAGAAAGGAGGCGUCAGUUUGAAGCUAAAUAAUGAAGAAAGGAUGAGACAUUUAGUGAUUACUGCCACAAUAAGCUCAUUCUUGGAAAUCGUGUUGCCAAUGACGAACUAGUAGAUUAUGUAGUGGAAUACUAUUGGUAAUCCUAAGAAAUUAAGCGAAGAUGCACUCCUCCUCGGUAUUACUGACAGCUUUUCGCAAGAUAACAUUAAACACAGCAGACGCGACCACAUCUCGCCGCGAGUAUAGCAGUAUUAAAUCAAACAAGUACAGAGAAGUGAAUCCAGAAGCGGCGCAGAAGGAUCCAAAGGAAUUUAAUAGAGUUAAACCGGUCAGCUGAGGUAUCAUCAAAUGCUACAAUUGUGACGGGUCACUAUGCCAAGGACUGUCCUGGUAGAAAAGGAGGAUUCGAUAGCAGCAAGGACGCAAAAACAAACCGGCAGGUGGAAUUGAUAGAUAAUAGUCGCAUGGCCGAGCUGAAAUGAGAUUUGAGGACACCGAGCAGGCGGAAGAAGACGAGAUCCAACUUGUAGACGGAGACAGCGCAUCAUCGGUUGGAACAGGAACUGAGGACGAGGGGAUCUAUUUUAUCGACACGUAAAGCAAGCUCCGCGACGAGUUUCAACGAAUAGUAAAUCUCCAGAGUCAAAAUGAGGUCGAUAAUUUUUGUGUAGCCAAGAUAGACACUGGAUGCCCAAUUACUCUUAUUAAAGAACAACUUUUUCGAGAUAGAGAUAUGCGUGUCCCAGGGCAUGAGUGGAACAGAGUUCGGAGAAUCAAUAAUUCAAAGCUCAUUGUUAAAGGAUUGAUAGAUAUAAAAAUUAUUGACGAUACGAUCAAGGUGAUUACCAUGGGGGUUGUCCCCAAUUCCACGAUGCUCUAUUCUUACUAGACCGAUGCAUUGAAACUUUUCGAAUAUAAAUUGACUAAAAAUCUCGGUUUUGAUAAGGUAGUUAGCGGACUUCUCAAUACAGAUCAUAAUCAAAGUAUAAUACCUAAUGAUUUUGAUAUUAAUUUCUUUAUUCUUAACAGAUACAAAUGCGCAGUAGAGAACAUCUUUCGUGAGCAUUAUAGUGAGGCCAGCGGGCCCGAGUUAUCGAAGGUUCAAAUGGAAGCCUCUCUAGUUUUAAAAGAAAACAGGUUUGUGUAAUUUGGGCUCAGAAGGCUGGGAUUCGUUGAGAAAGAAAAGGUUCAGGUAAUACUCGACAGAUUAUUAGAGAAAGGAAUUAGGGGAAGCACGUCUGAGUAUGCAUCGCCGAUCAUCCCAAGAGAAAAAAAAUGAAGAGAUCAGAAUGUGCGUCGAUUUUCGAAUUCUUAAUAAAAUCUAGCACGCGAUAAUAAUUAUCCGCUCCCGCUGAUUGAAGACCAAUUAAACAGUUUAAGAGACCUGAUCAAAGCCAAGACCGUUGUUGUAUAUGGAUGACAUAUUAAUUGCCACUGAAACAAUCAACGAACAUUUAAAAGCUUUAAAACAGAGCUAUGGUGGAAAACAAAUUAGAAUCGGAAAAUGUUCUUUUCUCUAUCGAAAUCGAAUAUCUAGGAUAUCGAGUAAUGAAGGAUAGAGGCAUUAUGGCCGUCUCAAACUUUCCAAUACCGAAAACAACGAAAGAAGUCAUUUGUAGGAUUAGCGUCAUAUUUCCGUAAGUUUAUUCAAGGAUUCUCUACGAUUACAUAACCACUACAUAAUUUACUAAAGCAAAACACUACAUUCAAAUUUGAAGAUUUCGAGAGACACGUUUUCGAGGAGCUCAAAGCCAGACUAACUAAGUCUUCAACUAUACGAUCCAAAAUCCUAUACUAUAAUUGCAUUGCGACGUGAGCGCGCAAGAAUUUGGAGCAAUUCUGCUGCAACGGCAAGCAAAUAAUAAAAUGCACCCGGUCUUCUAUUUCAGCCGACGUAUCACAGCGAUCGAAUCCAAAUAUCACAUUUUGAGCUCGCGACCUUGGCAAUCAUUUACGCGUUGCGUAUUUCGAAUAUACCUACAGGAUGUCCCAUUUGUUGUAAUUUCUGACUGUAACGCAAUCACCCAGACAUUAGAGAAACGUGAUUUAAAUGCUCGGAUAGCCAGAUGGAAUCUCGAGCUACAAGACUACGACUUUAAAGUAAUACAUCCUGGAUCCAGAUGGCUCACAUAGAUGCUCUGAAAAGAUUUUGGGGUGUUGAUCAUCGAGGACAACCCUUUCGAAU
rnacentral:lncRNA from 1 species